rnacentral:rRNA from 1 species
AUUGAACGCUGGCGGCAGGCCUAACACAUGCAAGUCGAACGAGCGGCGGACGGGUGAGUAAUGUCUGGGAAACUGCCCGCUGGAGGGGGAUAACUACUGGAAACGGUAGCUAAUACCGCAUACCAUCGGAUGUGCCCAGAUGGGCUUAGCUAGUAGGUGGGGUAAUGGCUCACCUAGGCGACGAUCCCUAGCUGGUCUGAGAGGAUGACCAGCCACACUGGAACUGAGACAGGGUCCAGACUCCUACGGGAGGCAGCAGUGGGGAAUAUGGCACAAUGGGCGCAAGCCUGAUGCAGCCAUGCCGCGUGUGUGAAGAAGGCCUUCGGGUUGUAAAGUACUUUCAGCGAGGAGGCGUUACUCGCAGAAGAAGCACCGGCUAACUCCGUGCCAGCCGCCGCGGUAAUUC